rnacentral:rRNA from 1 species
AUACGUAGGUGGCAAGCGUUAUCCGGAUUUACUGGGUGUAAAGGGCGUGUAGGCGGGACUUGCAAGUCAGGUGUGAAAUUCCAGGGCUCAACCCUGGAACUGCACUUGAAACUGUGGUUCUUGAGUGAUGGAGAGGCAGGCGGAAUUCCGUGUGUAGCGGUGAAAUGCGUAGAUAUACGGAGGAACACCAGUGGCGAAGGCGGCCUGCUGGACAUUAACUGACGCUGAGGCGCGAAAGCGUGGGGAGC